GGAGGCGCGGUCCUUCCAGCCUCUUGCUCCUGUGAAUCACAGGUCGGCGGGAGCCUUUUUUCCUUUUUUUUUUUUUCCCGGGGAGUCGGCCUCGGGGCUCUGCUCUCCUACCUCAGUCUGCCCUACCCUGGAAUGGGGAAAAUGCGGACAUGCCACUCAGUCCGGCCGCGAACAGUGCUCCAGAACUCAGAGAGUUUUCCAGACGGGUGGAGAUCGCGUUCCCUGCCCGCCGAGGUCCCAUCGCUUCCCUGCUGGGAAGACAAAUGAGGCGCUUUAGCCGUCUCCACGGCCAGCCCCUCCCUCAUAACCCGAGAUUCUUUGUGGGCUCUUAGUCCAUAGCUGCCUUUGAGGUGGUGUAGACCUUGCUAACCAGGACGGCCCAGUAGGCAGAGCUCAUUUUUAUUCCUGUCUGCAAUCGUGCAAAAACGCCUCUUAUGGAAAAGCCAGAGCGCCAGGAGUCAGCAAAACACACUAAAGAUUGGGCAGUCACUGGGGAGAACAUGGCCUGAAGCAACUGAAGAUCCACAAAAGAAGUGAAAAUAGCCUUAACUGAUGACAUUCCACCAUUGAGAUUUGUUCCUGCCCCACCCUAACUGAUACGAUAUAUUCUCCCCCGCCCUUAAGAAGACUCAGCCCGCCUGCACCCAGGUGAAAUAUACAGCCUUGUUGCUCACACAAAGCCUGUUUGGUGGUUUCUUCACACGGAUGCAUGUGACAUUUGGUGCUGAAGACCCAGGACAGGAGGACUCCUUUGGGAGACCAGUGCCCUGUUGUCGCCCUCACUCCGUGAGGAGAUCCACCUAUGAUCUCAGGUCCUCAGACCAACCAGCCCAAGGAACAUCUUGCCAAUUUCAAAUCGGAUAGGAGUGUCAGGCCUCUGAGUCCAAGCUAAGCCAUCAAAUCCCCUGUGACCUGCACGUGUACAUCCAGAUGACCUGAAGCAACUGAAGAUCCACAAAAGAAGUGAAAGUAGCCUUAACUGAUGACAUUCCACCAUUGUGAUUUGUUCCUGCCCCACGCUAACUGAUACCAUAUAUUCUUCCCCCGCCCUUGAGAAUGUACUUUGUACACCUAUCCCAAACCUAUAAGAACUAAUGAUAAUCCUACCACCCUUUGCUGACUCUCUUUUUGGACUCAGCCCGCCUGCACCCAGGUGAAAUAAACAGCCCUGUUGCUCACACAAA
rnacentral:lncRNA from 1 species